rnacentral:rRNA from 1 species
GGACAAUGGGGGGAACCCUGAUCCAGCCAUGCCGCGUGUGUGAAGAAGGCCUUUUGGUUGUAAAGCACUUUAAGCGAGGAGGAGGCGCUCUAGGCUAAUACCCUAGAUGCGUGGACGUUACUCGCAGAAUAAGCACCGGCUAACUCUGUGCCAGCAGCCGCGGUAAUACGGAGGAUGCAAGCGUUAUCCGGAUUCAUUGGGUUUAAAGGGUACGUAGGUGGCUUUGUAAGUCAGUGGUGAAAUCCUGCCGCUUAACGGUAGAACUGCCAUUGAUACUGCAAAGCUUGAGUACAGUUGAGGUAGGCGGAAUGUGUAGUGUAGCGGUGAAAUGCUUAGAUAUUACACAGAACUCCGAUUGCGAAGGCAGCUUACUAAACUGUAACUGACACUGAGGUACGAAAGCGUGGGGAGCGAACAGGAUUAGAUACCCUGGUAGUCCACGCUGUAAACGAUGCUCACUCGCUGUAUGCGAUACACUGUAUGCGGCCAAGCGAAAGUCUUAAGUGAGCCACCUGGGGAGUACGUCGGCAACGGUGAAACUCAAAUG